GAAAAAAUAGUGUUACUAAAUGUGUGAAACAAUACAGAGAAGUUUAGCAUGGCCCCUGCAUAAGGAUAACAUGCAAAUUGGUGCAGUGUCCCUAUUUUUC
rnacentral:snRNA from 1 species